AGAGUUUGAUCAUGGCUCAGAUUGAACGCUGGCGGCAGGCCUAACACAUGCAAGUCGAGCGGAUGAAGGGAGCUUGCUCCUGGAUUCAGCGGCGGACGGGUGAGUAAUGCCUAGGAAUCUGCCUGGUAGUGGGGGAUAACGUCCGGAAACGGGCGCUAAUACCGCAUACGUCCUGAGGGAGAAAGUGGGGGAUCUUCGGACCUCACGCUAUCAGAUGAGCCUAGGUCGGAUUAGCUAGUUGGUGGGGUAAAGGCCUACCAAGGCGACGAUCCGUAACUGGUCUGAGAGGAUGAUCAGUCACACUGGAACUGAGACACGGUCCAGACUCCUACGGGAGGCAGCAGUGGGGAAUAUUGGACAAUGGGCGAAAGCCUGAUCCAGCCAUGCCGCGUGUGUGAAGAAGGUCUUCGGAUUGUAAAGCACUUUAAGUUGGGAGGAAGGGCAGUAAGUUAAUACCUUGCUGUUUUGACGUUACCAACAGAAUAAGCACCGGCUAACUUCGUGCCAGCAGCCGCGGUAAUACGAAGGGUGCAAGCGUUAAUCGGAAUUACUGGGCGUAAAGCGCGCGUAGGUGGUUCAGCAAGUUGGAUGUGAAAUCCCCGGGCUCAACCUGGGAACUGCAUCCAAAACUACUGAGCUAGAGUACGGUAGAGGGUGGUGGAAUUUCCUGUGUAGCGGUGAAAUGCGUAGAUAUAGGAAGGAACACCAGUGGCGAAGGCGACCACCUGGACUGAUACUGACACUGAGGUGCGAAAGCGUGGGGAGCAAACAGGAUUAGAUACCCUGGUAGUCCACGCCGUAAACGAUGUCGACUAGCCGUUGGGAUCCUUGAGAUCUUAGUGGCGCAGCUAACGCGAUAAGUCGACCGCCUGGGGAGUACGGCCGCAAGGUUAAAACUCAAAUGAAUUGACGGGGGCCCGCACAAGCGGUGGAGCAUGUGGUUUAAUUCGAAGCAACGCGAAGAACCUUACCUGGCCUUGACAUGCUGAGAACUUUCCAGAGAUGGAUUGGUGCCUUCGGGAACUCAGACACAGGUGCUGCAUGGCUGUCGUCAGCUCGUGUCGUGAAAUGUUGGGUUAAGUCCCGUAACGAGCGCAACCCUUGUCCUUAGUUACCAGCACCUCGGGUGGGCACUCUAAGGAGACUGCCGGCGACAAACCGGAGGAAGGUGGGGAUGACGUCAAGUCAUCAUGCCCCUUACGGCCAGGGCUACACACGUGCUACAAUGGUCGGUACAAAGGGUUGCCAAGCCGCGAGGUGGAGCUAAUCCCAUAAAACCGAUCGUAGUCCGGAUCGCAGUCUGCAACUCGACUGCGUGAAGUCGGAAUCGCUAGUGAUCGUGAAUCAGAAUGUCACGGUUAAUACGUUCCCGGGCCUUGUACACACCGCCCGUCACACCAUGGGAGUGGGUUGCUCCAGAAGUAGCUAGUCUAACCGCAAGGGGGACGGUUACCACGGAGUGAUUCAUGACUGGGGUGAAGUCGGAACAAGGUA
rnacentral:rRNA from 1 species